CCUACGGGAGGCUGCAGUGGGGAAUAUUGCACAAUGGGCGCAAGCCUGAUGCAGCCAUGCCGCGUGUGUGAAGAAGGCCUUCGGGUUGUAAAGCACUUUCAGCGGGGAGGAAGGCGUUAAGGUUAAUAACCUUGGCGAUUGACGUUACCCGCAGAAGAAGCACCGGCUAACUCCGUGCCAGCAGCCGCGGUAAUACGGAGGGUGCAAGCGUUAAUCGGAAUUACUGGGCGUAAAGCGCACGCAGGCGGUCUGUCAAGUCGGAUGUGAAAUCCCCGGGCUCAACCUGGGAACUGCAUUCGAAACUGGCAGGCUAGAGUCUUGUAGAGGGGGGUAGAAUUCCAGGUGUAGCGGUGAAAUGCGUAGAGAUCUGGAGGAAUACCGGUGGCGAAGGCGGCCCCCUGGACAAAGACUGACGCUCAAGUGCGAAAGCGUGGGGAGCAAACAGGAUUAGAUACCCGAGUAGUC
rnacentral:rRNA from 1 species